rnacentral:rRNA from 1 species
UGGCUCAGGAUGAACGCUAGCGGCAGGCUUAACACAUGCAAGUCGAGGGGUAUAGUUCUUCGGAACUAGAGACCGGCGCACGGGUGCGUAACGCGUAUGCAAUCUACCUUUUACAGAGGGAUAGCCCAGAGAAAUUUGGAUUAAUACCUCAUAGCAUAGCAGCUUCGCAUGAAGCCACUAUUAAAGUCACAACGGUAAAAGAUGAGCAUGCGUCCCAUUAGCUAGUUGGUAAGGUAACGGCUUACCAAGGCUACGAUGGGUAGGGGUCCUGAGAGGGAGAUCCCCCACACUGGUACUGAGACACGGACCAGACUCCUACGGGAGGCAGCAGUGAGGAAUAUUGGACAAUGGGCGCAAGCCUGAUCCAGCCAUGCCGCGUGCAGGAUGACGGUCCUAUGGAUUGUAAACUGCUUUUAUACGAGAAGAAACACUACUUCGUGAAGUAGCUUGACGGUAUCGUAAAAAUAAGGAUCG